GGCUACCUACACGCAGUUGGCUCUGAUACCAACUUGUGACACCCCUGAUUUUGAUCGUACGCUAAACAUACAUGCAAUGCGUAUGAUCAAGAUUAGGUACUCACGGAAAGAUAUCACAACACAACUCUAGACACAAAUAAAAGUCCUACAAGCUUCAUAUUACAAGCCAGGGGCCUCGAGGGCUCGAAUACAUAAGCUCGAGAAGUCCAAGAGUCAACGGCAGCAAUAAUAUCUGAGUACAGACAUAGAAACAAGUUAUGCCUUAGAGAACGCUAGCACAAAAGAUACAUAGGUUGAACGAGGCAAGGCCUCCAGCCUGGGAACCUCCUGAACUUCUCCUGGUCGUUAGCGGCCUCCACGUAGUAGUAGGCACCAUCGGGGUAGCAUUCGUCGGCGACGGGAUACGCCAUCUUGGGCUCCAUCAUCUGGCCACGGCAACCGUGUGAAGGGGAAAAGAGGGAGCAAAGCAGCGGUGAGUACUCAUCCAAAGUACUCGCAAGACUGACAUCAGAACUAUACUAAGUAUGCAUCAGUAUCAAAGGAAUGGGUUAUAUAUGGACUGACUACAACAAUGUGAGAAUAGAGAGAAUGGACUAGUCGUACCGAAGACUAGCAGGUUUAGUGCCUUACAGCAUUAGAAGAGAGUAGAACAAUAACACAAUUAUAUAGUCAUAUUGUUGCGGCAAAUUUAAUUAAGUCACGCCUAGAGAUUCUUCCUUGACUCCCUGCGAGAAAGCAAUCUCGGAGCCAAACAUUCCAGUUAAGUCACAGUUCUAGUUGUAUUAGAUAAGGACACAACUCUAAUUCGUCCUGUAACCCUCGACAUGGCUAUUCGAAUAGUUAAUUUUCAUCCCUUCACAGGUGCACCAAAUUAUCCAACACGCUUGAUAAACUCUCGCCGAACAUACUUUCCUAGGCCAUGCCCGGCCUCGGAACAUCAACACGUCGCAACCCUAGCUAGGCUCAACACAGAGGCCAACCCGUCGGUCAAAAUCCUAAGGGUGGAGGGGUCAUGGUCCCAUCACCCUUUGCACUCGUGCACGAUGCAUGGGCGGCCGAGGUCAGUCCUAACAUCUCUUAUACAAGAACAAUUCUUAUGCGGACCACUCAGGCGCGCGCCGCUCCAUUGCUGACAUCUGAAGAGCUUCGGCUGAUACUACGGCACUCACUACAAAUAACGUCUCCCACGUGAAGGUUAGUGCGAAAAGGUCAACGACCAACUCAAAUCAAAAACAUAAAUCCCAUUAGUAUUUUAAUUAAUACCGCGACGAUGAUGGAAAACCCACAAUAUGUGGUCCCGUCGCCCAGUCUCGAGGAUGUGUGGCAAGGGCCAAGAGUGCCCGGCCACGCCUCGUCACAUCCAAGUGGGAAUCCACCCACAACACACCUUUCAUGAAGUUCCGAGUAGUAAGGUCAAGUAACUGUGUGGCUCUAACAUUAGAGAGAUCUGAGGUAUCACUCUUGAGGGAUUCCGAACGAUGUAACUGUCAAGGUGACCAGGGAGGAAUCACCCUCGUUGGUCCACGCUUGAGGGGUUGUACGACAGAGUCGUUAUCGGAAGUGGUAAAGGAGGAAUCACCCUCCGUGAACCACCGUCGGUUAACUACACUACAGAUCUAACAUCACGAGCAUGUAAUGAGGUGUCAUCCUCGGUACUCGAUAGUAGCUCUGCAGCGUCGUACAACAAGGGAGGGUGUGAGUAUUGUGACGGGUCUUGGCUCGUCGAUCAGUAGAUUGAGACUUUGAUGAUAAAGCGGGGCAACUCAGACUAAGGGGUCAAUGGGGAUCAGUGCUCCACCUAUACUAAGCAUUUAAUGUACAAUAGAGUAUAAUAGCAGUUUAUCAAAAACAAGCUAUGCAUCAGAAUAGGAGCUAUCUACAACAAUAGUAAAAUCUAAUGCAAGCAUGAGGGGGAAAGAAUGGGGGAUAUAGGAAUGAUCAAGGGGGGUUGCUUGCCUUGUUGCUCUGCUGAAAAAGGCUGGACGUGAGGAGGUAGUCGUACCCAGAAGCAGCAUAACGUCGGCGUCUAUCAGAGAGAAGAGGGGGAAGAAACAAUAAAUAUAAAAGCAAACAGAUGCAUCACGAUGCAUGGUAUGGCAAUAUGCAGUGCUAGGGGUGAGCUAACGUGGUACUACACGUUAGUGACGGAGCGGCAAAAUACCUGACGAUAUUUCCCGGGUCUCAGGCUUGUUUCGGAUAGAUGAUCCUAACGCUAAAUGUCUAUAUUCAUCAUGCUUGGAGCAUGUGACAGAUGAACGUACAACGUAUUUGGAUUCGUGCGAUUUUUUGAUAAACUUUCAUAUAUAAAAUAUUUUCAUCCUAGUUACUGAUUAUUUUAUAUGUAUUUACAAAGUUUUAACAAUAUUCUAAAAUUCCUUUUAUUUAUUUAUUUGAAAUAUCCAAAACAAUACAAAACCCUUUUACACAUAGGGCCAGCUAGACCAUUAGGACGACACGUGGGUCCAUAGAGCCCAGUUGACCGAGUCAAAAAUCCAGCCAACAGUCAUCUAAGUUGACUCGUCAACAUGACAUGUGAGUGCACACUUGAGUACAGAUUAAUUUAAAAGUGUUCAUUAGAGGAGGUGGCCCACAUGUCAUUGUCACUUUUUAUUAUGAAAGUGUUUUUUUAACAGCAUAGUGCCACAUGUAAAUGACUGUUAGUGAGGUGGGUUAUUGGGGGUCAUUAGUGGCUAAGAGCAACUCUAGCAUACCCCGCAUCCCGCCCCGAUCUGGAAAAUAACCGUCAAAAUGCUGGUCGGGGCAGAAAAACCUGCCCGAUCAAACCCCGCAUCCCGCCCCGGCCCACAAAAAAAUUUGGGGCGCGCGGCAAAAUCUCAGCCCCAACCCGCGUAUUCGCGGGUUUCCCCCUCGUCGCUGCGGUGCCCUGUAUAUAAGCGGAAGUGGUUGGUGGGGGGACAUUUCAGCCCGUGCUUUCCCCCACCAACCACCUCCCCUCUCCCCCCCNNNNNNNNNNNNNNNNNNNNNNNNNNNNNNNNNNNNNNNNNNNNNNNNNNNNNNNNNNNNNNNNNNNNNNNNNNNNNNNNNNNNNNNNNNNNNNNNNCCCCGUGCAUCGGCGGGUCGCCGGAUUUGCGGAUCUACGGACCUUCGUCGCGGGACCGCCGGAUUUGGCUUUUGCCGGCCGCCGGUGGCUGCGUGAAGCGAUGGAGUGGUCGGGGAGGAUCUCCCGCAGCCCUGGCAAGGGCGCAUCACCGCAUGCAGGGACGGGUUCGUCCUCCCAACACCACCGACGAUUUGCGGGCAUGGAUUCGUCCGGCCAUCCACCGGGCUCGGUGCUCGCGCGGCAGCUCUAUGGCUCGCCGUUGCCGCUCAUACAGUGCGACGACUGCACGCAGACAGUGCUGCGACUUACUUCGGCCACGCCGAAGCAUCCUGGAUGGGUGUUCUUCAAAUGCGAAAACAACAGGGUACGUGCACUUGCGGUAGCUCAUUUUGAUAUCUCAUUCUUUGGUUCAAUUGCGGAUCCUCAUUCCGAACAUGGUCAUUCUUUUAUGUAGGAAGAUGGAUGCUCAUUUUGGUUUUGGGAAGGCCAAUACAUUGAUUUGUCGAUAGAAAGAAAGUUAAUAGAUUUCGAUGCACUCCUUGGUAGAAUAAAAAAAACAAUGAUGCGGCUCCAUGUGCAACGUCUACUUCUUCCGAACCAAAGAUGAAGAAUGAAGAAUGCAAGAUCAAGAAUCCGCAGAUCAACAAUGAGUGCAUGGAGAAAAUAUUGCUUCAACUAGUUGGAGCAGUUAUGGAAGUUGGAAAUCUUCUAAAAUGCAUACUUGUGGUUCUUGUUUUCUUUGGUCUUGCUAUUCUAGCAAAGAUGUGGUGAUGUCCUAUGUAUCCAAUGUUGUUGAAAAACCAAAGAAAUGCAUUAUGUUGGAUCAAAUUAAGAUGCAAAUUUAGAUUUUCUGGGCCGGGAGGAGCUGCGCCAGAUCAGACCCCGCAAAGUCGACCCGUAAAAAAGCAUAUUCCGCGAAUAUGCUUUUUUACGGAUCCGUUAUGCGGGGUCUGCAUCCGCGGUCGUGCGCGCCGGCCCGCAAAGACAUUUUUCCGCAAACUACAAACAUGUUUUGCGGGCCGAACGGAUGCGAAGUCUGCUAGAAUUGCUCUAAUGAUGCCAUGUCGGCAACAUCAGCGGCCACGAGCGUCUGGUCGAGUCAGGCGACCAGUUGGAACGCGGUUUGGUCUGACGUGUCUGGCGUGAUGAAGCGCACUGGAUGGUGGCCGCAAGGUGGCCGGAGACGAUCGGAGUUGCUGGCGGGGUCGAUUCAUGCGGCGGCAGUGGGCGGAGCACGGCAGCGAGAGCACGGCGGCUUGCAGGGGAGUAGCAUAGCACGGUAACGGGCGAGGCACUCGGGUAGCAGCGAUGGUGAAGCUGGGCAGCAACAACAGCCAUAGAUCUAUGUCGGGGCGGAGGACAGCGGUGGCGCGGGCGGCAUGCGACAGCAGCAGCAGCAACGCAUGCGCGGCUGCUGCGGUAUGGCCUGCGGGCAGGCUGUUGGCCGACUAGCGGGUACGGCAUGUGGCCACGCGAGCAGGAAGGCAUGCGGGCGACUAGCAGGAGUGCGCGUUCGCGUGGGCUCAAGCGGAGACGACGCAUGGCAUCCACGGCAAGGGGGCGCAGAGGGUAAAAAGGGGAAGUGGAGGAGGCUCACCACGAGGAGGUGGAUGGCGAGCUCAGGACAACCGAGGUGGGGCCAAAGGUGGAGAUCGACAGUGAAGGAGGCGGACGAAGCUGGAGAAGAAGCUCGAUCUCGCGGCUCGGUGAGGUCCAGCUCGAAAUCUGUCUUGCAUGAGACGAAGAUGAUGAUGGGGCGCCUCCUGGACAUCCUUUCGGACGGCGGGGAGGCUGUUGGCCGCGGUGGCGAUGAUCGGGCAGCGGCUCGUCGAGCCCGAGCUCGAGCUCGGGGCGGAGGGGCGAAGAAUAG
rnacentral:lncRNA from 1 species